rnacentral:snRNA from 1 species
GAAGAAGAAGACAACAAA